rnacentral:misc_RNA from 1 species
CGUCAUUAUCAACCAUCAAGCCUGGCUUGUCGUUGGACCCUGGUCGUUCAAGAUGACCGGUUCGAAAGAUAACGGACGGGACCGGGCGGCCCUGGAUGCAACGAGCUUCACAGCACGCAUCGAAAGGCCGGCGGCCCCGCCCUCAACCCCAUUUUUCUCAUGUUGACCUCGGAUCAGGUAGGAAUACCCGCUGAACUUAA